rnacentral:piRNA from 1 species
UUGUGGAGAAGGUCCUAACUCAACACUGC